rnacentral:rRNA from 1 species
AACGAACGCUGGCGGCAUGCCUAACACAUGCAAGUCGAACGAGACCUUCGGGUCUAGUGGCGCACGGGUGCGUAACGCGUGGGAACCUUCCUUUAGGUUCGGAAUAACUCAGAGAAAUUUGAGCUAAUACCGGAUGAUGUCUUCGGACCAAAGAUUUAUCGCCUUUAGAUGGGCCCGCGUUGGAUUAGCUAGUUGGUGGGGUAAAGGCCUACCAAGGCGACGAUCCAUAGCUGGUCUGAGAGGAUGAUCAGCCACACUGGGACUGAGACACGGCCCAGACUCCUACGGGAGGCAGCAGUGGGGAAUAUUGGACAAUGGGCGAAAGCCUGAUCCAGCAAUGCCGCGUGAGUGAUGAAGGCCUUAGGGUUGUAAAGCUCUUUUACCCGAGAUGAUAAUGACAGUAUCGGGAGAAUAAGCUCCGGCUAACUCCGUG